AAACUAUAAAUACCUUACAAGUAAGGUAUUUAUAGUUUAUAAAAAAAAAAAAUGUUUAGCUUGAGCCUUUUUUUUGUUGGCGUGAGAUUAGACAUGCUGGUAUUAGUAUAAUGUAGUCUAAUAAAUUAGUAAAAUCAAUCUUUAAAGAGGGUAAAAUAUGUGCCAGCAUCUGCGGUUAUACUUAACUCUUUUAUUAAAGUUAAUGGGUAGGCUAUUUUAAAGUUAAUGUGGUUAAAGUUUUGGUGAAAUAGUGGAAAUAAUAUUAUACUUAGUUAAGACCAGGCUUAAUUUGAACUAGGAUUAGAUACCCUAUUACUUGUUUAUGUAGCCUAAUGAUUAAAUAUAAAGUUAUAUUGCUUGGCGGCUAGUUUUUAAUUUAGAGGAGUUUGCUGGUAAUCGACACUACUCGUUAGUUCUAAUCUAUUAAUUUAUGUACACCGUCAUUUAGUUAAUUCAAAGAAGAAAAAUUAAGGGUGUUAGUCAAAUAAAUUAGAUCAAGGUGCAGAGUGCUUAGGGUGUUAGUUAACUACAAUAUACAAAUAUAUAUUUAGACUAUACUGCUAAAGUCGAAAGGUGGAUUUAAAUGUAAUUAAUUAUGUUUGAUAGGAGAAAUUAGUGUACAAAUUGCCCGUCAAUCUCUCUGAGAUAAGUCGAAACAAAGUAGAGGUACUUGAAAGUGUUUCUA
rnacentral:rRNA from 1 species